AAACUUUCAACAACGGAUCUCUUGGUUCUCGGGCAUCGAUGAAGAACGCAGCGAAAUGCGAUACGUAAUGUGAAUUGCAGAAUUCAGUGAAUCAUCGAGUCUUUGAACGCACAUUGCGCCCCCUGGUAUUCCGGGGGGCAUGCCUGUCCGAGCGUAU
rnacentral:rRNA from 1 species